GUGCCAGCAGCCGCGGUAAUACGUAGGUGGCAAGCGUUAUCCGGAAUUAUUGGGCGUAAAGCGCGCGCAGGCGGUUCCUUAAGUCUGAUGUGAAAGCCCACGGCUCAACCGUGGAGGGUCAUUGGAAACUGGGGAACUUGAGUGCAGAAGAGAAGAGCGGAAUUCCACGUGUAGCGGUGAAAUGCGUAGAGAUGUGGAGGAACACCAGUGGCGAAGGCGGCUCUUUGGUCUGUAACUGACGCUGAGGCGCGAAAGCGUGGGGAGCAAACAGGAUUAGAUACCCUGGUAGUCC
rnacentral:rRNA from 1 species